CGCAAGCAUGACUGUAAGUCACUUUGGAUAAAAGCGUCUGCUAAACGGCUGAUA
rfam:Salmo salar isolate Sally breed double haploid chromosome ssa06, whole genome shotgun sequence.